rnacentral:rRNA from 1 species
AUUGAACGCUGGCGGCAGGCCUAACACAUGCAAGUCGAACGAGUGGCGGACGGGUGAGUAAUGUCUGGGAAACUGCCCGAUGGAGGGGGAUAACUACUGGAAACGGUCGCUAAUACCGCAUACCAUCGGAUUUGCCCAGAUGGGAUUAGCUAGUAGGGGGGGUAACGGCUCACCUAGGCGACGAUCCCUAGCUGGUCUGAGAGGAUGACGAGCCACACGGGAACUGAGAAACGGUCCAGAAUCCUACGGGAGGAGGAAGUGGGGAAUAUUGCACAAUGGGCGCAAGCCUGAUGAAGCCAGGCCGCGUGUAUGAAGAAGGCCUUCGGGUUGUAAAGUACGUUCAGCGAGGAGGCGUUACUCGCAGAAGAAGCAACGGCUAACUCCGUGCCAGCAGCCGCGGUAAUAC